rnacentral:rRNA from 1 species
AGGGCUGCAGUAUAUUGACUGUACAAAGGUAGCAUAAUCAUUAGUCAUUUAAUUGAUGACUUGUAUGAAGGAUUUGAUGAAAUAUAAACUGUCUCUUAUUUGAUUAUAAAAUUUAAUUUUUUUAUUAAAAAGUUAAAAUAUAUUAAAAAGACGAGAAGACCCUAUAGAGUUUAAUAAGUUAUUAAAUUGAGAUUAUGUGUAAAUUAAACUUGAAAUUGAGUUAUUUAUUUUGUUGGGGUGACAAAAAAAUAUGUUAAACUUUUUUUAUUUAAAAACAUUUAUAAGUGGUUAAAUGAUCCAAUAAUGUUGAUUAUAAGAAAAAAUUACCUUAGGGAUAACAGCGUAAUUUUUUUUUUUAGUUCAAAUAAGAAAAAGAGUUUGCGACCUCGAUGUUGGAUUAAGAUAAAAUUUAAA